rnacentral:lncRNA from 1 species
UAAUCUUAUUAGUUGAUGAGUCUUUGAAAUGAUGUUGAUGAUAAUAAUAAUAUGGUAAUGGUAAUGAGACCCUCAGUGAAUGUGCAUUUGCUAUCUCUGCUAAUACCAGGAAAUUAAUUAAUAUAAAGCAUAUAACAUAGUUUUGGAAAAAUUAGACAUAGAAUUAUCUCAAAAAAAUAAAUCAAAGAAAUAUUAGAACAAAUAAAAAUAAAUAUGACUAGUAACAAAAUAAAAAUAGAACGAAUCUUAUUAGUCGAAUUUGACUGAGACGUGCAAAUGCACUGGGCUUAAGAGUAUUUCGCCACCACAGGUAAGUUACCCGGUGCAGUUGGUCUCAUAGCUAAUAUCCUCCAGCAUACAACAGUCACUUCUUGCUAGCACUGCACGUGAAUUAGCAAGGAACUUUUUUGGAUGCUCAAGGAAACUCUAUUUUAGUUUACUCACACCACUUUCUUUUUCUCUUAUUCACCUUUCCUAAAUCUACCCGAGCUCAAUCUUUCAUUGACUUAAUCCGCUUAAUAACUAUAUACAGUUGCUAAUCACUGUCAUAAGGCAAAACCAUGAUUUAUUUUUAUUUUUUUGUUUACAACAGAGCAAAGGAUCGAACUAAGGACUCAUGUAUACUAUACUACCCAAGUUCCUUAACACUGGACCAAACUUAGUGGCUUUAAUUCCUGUUUUAAUUGGGCAAAUGAAAUUGAAGCACAUUUAACAAAUGUGUAGUGUAACGGCAAAUAUGACCAAGUCAAGAUAGUAAACAAAUCAUCAUUAAUAUAAUAAUUAACUUUAAAAUAAAUUAUGAUAUGAAAAUAUCCAACACAUAGUACUUACUUACUAGUACUAAAAAGAAAGAUAGAUAAGGCUGGUUGCUUUUGUUAUGAGGAUGAUUAAACAAAACUCAAAUUCAGAAAUUGAGAGAGAGAAUUAAAGAAAUUUACCAAUCAAAGGCAUGGGGACUCAUUCAGCGAGAGGAACUUAGAAAAAGGAACAAGAAUCACAGAGCGGACGGAGGAAUGAAUGAAUCUUGUGAAUGGGAAGGGAAGGAGACGAAACAACAGAAACAAGAUAACGUUUCUUUGUUUCUUUCUUUUGAAUGAAUGAAGACUAGAAUUACUUUUGCCACUAUUACCGGCACUACAUUCGUGUUUCUCAUUUUACC